UUGCAAAAGCAUUUGGGGUUUCAAGAUCCAACACUAUGAUUAAUUGAAAAGCUUCAAUUACUAACCAAUUUAUAAAGGUUGGAUUUUUGGUGAGAUUGUUCGAAAGGGUUAGUAGAUGAACUUACAAAAAAGAGGAUUAGUAGACUCUUUCAUCUUUUUUGAACACCUAGAUUGGCUAUUUGGCCUUAUAACCACAGCUACCUCCCUCCUUCCCUGUCAAUCUCUGUGAUAUACUGAACAUUGUCUCAUUCUUGACAUUUGCCCAAACUUGACACUGUCUCAUACUUAAAAAUUCAGCUGAUAAGUCCAGCUUUGCGAAAGAGUCAGCAAUGAAAAUAGAUGCACAACCUUCAAGUAGUCUUGGUCUUAUGUUCAACUAAGAAGUAAUCUUCCAUCACCAACAAAAUCAGUUCAAUUUUUGAAAUUUCUGAGAUGGAGGAGUACGUCAAGCACCCAGGGAAGUUUGCACUUGUUGGAGGAAAACGGCUCAAGGGAAUGAUCAUGACAGGUGGGCUUGGGACUGGUAAGACUCUGCUUUCCAAGACUAUUGCAGCAGAAGCCAGAGUACCUUCAUUUAUUCAGAGCAGAUUCAGAAAGGAAUUGAGGGUCUGCCAAUGGUAUUCU